rnacentral:rRNA from 1 species
UACGAAGGGGGCUAGCGUUGUUCGGAAUCACUGGGCGUAAAGGGCGCGUAGGCGGCCGAUCAAGUCGGGGGUGAAAGCCUGUGGCUCAACCACAGAAUUGCCUUCGAUACUGGUUGGCUUGAGACUGGAAGAGGUAAGUGGAACUGCGAGUGUAGAGGUGAAAUUCGUAGAUAUUCGCAAGAACACCAGUGGCGAAGGCGGCUUACUGGUCCGGUUCUGACGCUGAGGCGCGAAAGCGUGGGGAGCAAACAGG